GGGAGAUGUCAAGAGUAUUUGUAAUAGCUCCUAUAAUUGUCAUGUUGGAUUUUAGUUUCCUUGCCCACAUGCAGGUGUGCACAGAAGAACAGACUUUACUGUUAAGAGGGUUUGUUUUUAAUCAGUUAAACGAUUGUUCAGGAAUCGAGAAUAGAGGACGUCAGAAGGGGAACGAGGGUCCAGGUAGGUUCGGGGGUCCGGGACAGCAGCGGAUCGGAACGGCUUGGUAGGUGUUAUGUUUGGAAGCUAGGACGAGGUAGAAGCUCAAGUAGACAAAGAACCCUUAACAGCUUUUAUUCAUAACUCGCUCAGCAGUACAGUAACAUCAAGUAUUCCUUUCCUCCAUGUUA